rnacentral:rRNA from 1 species
CCUACGGGUGGCUGCAGUGAGGAAUAUUGGUCAAUGGGCGUAAGCCUGAACCAGCCAUCCCGCGUGAAGGAAGAAGGCGCUAUGCGUCGUAAACUUCUUUUCCAGAGGAAUAAAAUUUCGUACGUGUACGGAACUGAAGGUACUUUGGGAAUAAGCAUCGGCUAACUCCGUGCCAGCAGCCGCGGUAAUACGGAGGAUGCGAGCGUUAUCCGGAUUUAAUGGGUUGAAGUGGUGCGUAUAAGGAUUUAGUGAAAACCUUCAGCUUAACUGGAGAACUGCCAUUGAUACUGUUAGUCUUGAGUACGGUCAAGGUAGGCGGAAUGUGUAAUGUAGCGGUGAAAUGCUUAGAUAUUACACAGAACACCGAUUGCGAAGGCAGCUUACUGGGCCAUUACUGACGCUGAUGCACGAAAGCGUGGGGAGCGAACAGGAUUAGAUACCCUGGUAGUC